rnacentral:rRNA from 1 species
UACGUAGGGUGCAAGCGUUAAUCGGAAUUACUGGGCGUAAAGCGUACGCAGGCGGCUUUGCAAGACAGGUGUGAAAUCCCCGGGCCUAACCUGGGAACUGCAUUUGUGACUGCAUGGCUAGAGUUUGUCAGAGGGGGGUGGAAUUCCACGUGUAGCAGUGAAAUGCGUAGAUAUGUGGAGGAACACCGAUGGCGAAGGCAGCUCGCUGGGACGUUACUGACGCUGAGACGCGAAAGCGUGGGGAGCAAACAGG